GCCCCGCCUGGCGCCCGAUAAGGCGUUGCUUAGCUCCGACUCCUCCCCAGGCGCAGAGUCGGGGGAACCAGUCUCCCCUUCCCCCCUCCCCUCCCCGCAACCCCGCCUAGGAGCUUCCCGCGACCCCCGGAUGGGGCGGGGCAGCAGCCCGUGGCCCCCUAGACGGGAGGAGGGCGUUCCUCCUGCAGUUCCUAUGCCGCAGCCGCUCCCGGGAAGAUGGGGGACCGUGGAGGUUCCGGAAUUUUAUGUGGAUUUAGGGGCUGCCAUCUAAUAGGAAGGUGCUUAAAAAAUUUUUCCCAAACUGGAAAUGUGCUCAGUGGUAGAGCAAUUGCAUAGCAUGUGCAGGGUUGAUCCGCAGCCCUGAGGGGACAGG
rnacentral:lncRNA from 1 species